UACGGAGGGAGCUAGCGUUGUUCGGAAUUACUGGGCGUAAAGCGCACGUAGGCGGCCAUUCAAGUCAGAGGUGAAAGCCCAGGGCUCAACCCUGGAACUGCCUUUGAAACUAGAUGGCUAGAAUCCUGGAGAGGCGAGUGGAAUUCCGAGUGUAGAGGUGAAAUUCGUAGAUAUCUGGAGGAAUACCGGUGGCGAAGGCGGCAUCCUGGACCGGCAUUGACGCUGAGGAGCGAAAGCCAGGGGAGCAAACGGG
rnacentral:rRNA from 1 species